UAGCUGAGUGGCAGAGCAUCUGCUUUGCGUGCAGAAGGUCUCAGGUUCGAUUCCCACCAACAUCCUGGCAGAGAAU